rnacentral:lncRNA from 1 species
UUGCUUCGAUUUUGUAGUUAAUUUUUAGAUUUUUUUAUUUUUCUUAUGAAUUAAUUUAUAAUAUAAGAUUGAAAAUUAAAUUAUUAUGAAAUCACACAUAAAAAAUUUAAUUAUAAAUAUAAAAUUUUUAAAAAAUGUCUGGAUAUAUGAUCAAAAUUUGAUCAUAAAUAUAAAAUUUUAGUAAAUAGUUUAGAUGAAAUGUGUAAAAAAUAUUACCAUCCGUUUUCGGUUCGGCUCGUUAAGAAAUGUGUUCAAACCG